rnacentral:lncRNA from 1 species
UGUGGUGGCAACCAACAUGGUGAUCUACAGAUGAGGCAAAUGUUCCUUGAGGGAGUUGAUGAUCCGCCUAGAUGCACCCCAACCUGGGGCUGCCUGUUCUGAAAGAAGCAACUCAUUCUUUGAGAGCUGCUCACAUGAUGUGCUCAGUAUAGAGGGCAAAAAAAGUGCCAGAGAACCCAGAGAGAAGACGAGAUCCACGAGAUCCUUCCUGGCAAGCAGAGUUUCAGAAAAGAAGUUCUGUUCCUCAGGGUCAUAUAACGGAGUUCCCUUUGACAAAAGCCAACUUCACCCUCAUCCGCCUUGGCAGGACCAGAUGUUCAACUCUGACAAAGGAGAACCCCCGCUUGGGCUGUUCUGACUCACAGACACCCCUUGCUCUGGCUGUUCUGGCCUGUGGACACCCCCUCCCAAAAAAGUUCUGGCCCACAGACACCCUCCCCAAAAGUUAGCUUUAGAAACCCCAUGCUUUGCUCAGCUCAGGGCUGUCCUAGUCCUCUGGGCAGCCCGUGGUGUCACCCCCCAAUAAAGACUCCUCUUGCAUCAG